ensembl:snoRNA SNORA70 Small nucleolar RNA SNORA70
CUGCACGCACCCAUUGUGCAAACAGCAGCCUCCUCAGUCGGAUAUACAGUCUGUUGCUUGUCUGGGUUGCCCUAGGGGACCUUGGAGAUAGCU